UGGCGGUGGCGCGCCUGGGCUUCAACUCCGUCGUGCUC
rnacentral:tRNA from 15 species